rnacentral:rRNA from 1 species
ACGCUCGACACCUACGGGGGGCAGCAGUGGGGAAUAUUGGGCAAUGGAGGCAACUCUGACCCAGCAACGCCGCGUGAGUGAUGAAGGUCUUCGGAUUGUAAAACUCUUUAAGUAGGGACGAAGAAAGUGACGGUACCUACAGAAUAAGCCUCGGCUAACUACGUGGCAGCAGCCGCGGUAAUCUGAGCGGGCUGGCAAGGC